GGGUAGAGGAACAUGUACGCAACCUUCCUUUAACUGGGGAAUAGCCCUCGAAAGAGGGAUUAAUACUCCGUAAGAUAAUGAUAAGGCAUCUUAUUAUUAUUAUAGCUCCGGCGGUUAAAGAUGGGCGUGCAACUGAUUAGAUAGUUGGCGGGGUAACGGCCCACCAAGUCAGCGAUCAGUAACUGGUGUGAGAGCACGACCAGUCACACGGGCACUGAGACACGGGCCCG
rnacentral:rRNA from 1 species